rnacentral:rRNA from 1 species
GGGUGGUAAUGCCGGAUGUUCCACAUGAUCGCAUGUGAUUGUGGGAAAGAUUUCAUCGGCGUGGGAUGGGGUCGCGUCCUAUCAGCUUGUUGGUGAGGUAACGGCUCACCAAGGCUUCGACGGGUAGCCGGCCUGAGAGGGCGACCGGCCACAUUGGGACUGAGAUACGGCCCAGACUCCUACGGGAGGCAGCAGUGGGGAAUAUUGCACAAUGGGCGCAAGCCUGAUGCAGCGACGCCGCGUGAGGGAUGGAGGCCUUCGGGUUGUAAACCUCUUUUGUUUGGGAGCAAGCCUUCGGGUGAGUGUACCUUUCGAAUAAGCGCCGGCUAACUACGUGCCAGCAGCCGCGGUAAUACGUAGGGCGCAAGCGUUAUCCGGAUUUAUUGGGCGUAAAGGGCUCGUAGGCGGCUCGUCGCGUCCGGUGUGAAAGUCCAUCGCUUAACGGUGGAUCUGCGCCGGGUACGGGCGGGCUGGAGUGCGGUAGGGGAGACUGGAAUUCCCGGUGUAACGGUGGAAUGUGUAGAUAUCGGAAA